GGGGUUUAGAAUUUAGAAUUUAGGGUUUAGGGUUUAGAGUUUAGGGUUUAGAGUUUAGGGGUGGGGUUUAGGGUUUAGAGUCAAGGGGUGGGGUUUAUGAUUUAUGGUUUAGGGUUUAUGAUUUAGGGUUUAGGGUUUAGAGUUUAGGUUUUAGGAUUUAGAGUUGGGGAAUGGGGUUUAGGGAUAAGAUUUCAAAUUGUGAAAAAAUAAAAAAAAUUUAAAUUUUUCAAAAGAUAAAAUGUUAUUUUGGUCAUUUUAGUUUUUGAUGACUAUUUUUGUGACAUAAACUUAGAAAUGUGGUAUUUUGGAAAUUUGUCCAAAAAAUUAUAUAAUAUGUUGGGGAGAAACACUAAUGUGGAAUGAGAAAGGACUCGAUAAAUCAACCUUUGCAACUUGUUAAGUAGAGAAAAAUCAAUAAACAAAGGAGUUUUUCUUUUUCAGGUUCCUAUCAGAAAACUCCUCCAAUAAGAAGAGUUAGAUAAUUUCCAAGGUUAUGUAAGAGUUGUAGAAAAGACAUACAAUUAUAUUCAUACAUAAUCAACCAGUGAAUAAACGACAUGAUAGGAAAUGAACUUAAUAACAACAAAGUGAGAACACACAAAUAUAGAGUUAUCAAGGCUACAAGCACUCGUUUUACAGAGAUACUGCUUCUCUGCCUCAUCCUCAGAUGAGUGAUGUCACCCUCGAAUUUUCCUGCAGCUUAAUCUUCUCAAAGAGGUACUGCUUCUCUGCAUCAGCCUCACUCAGUCUCUGUUUCACAUAGCUGCUUGCGUAUUCCCCUAAGACUCGUCCAUUUUCGCUAGUACAAACCUCUGAAGUUUCUCAGCUUCCCGCUUUGCUUCGUUCUAACCGCUCCACAUACCUGCCGUUUUUUUUUUUACUGUAGAGGUGACUGAAUCAUCAGGUGACCUCUGCGUCGUGUUGACUUUUGACUCCAUUUGGGGCAAUUGCGAAUACGACAUUGUUGGUAAAAUUUAAGCUUAAUGAGGGAGCAUACACAUGAUAUGGGCCAAUGUGGAUGUGGUAAUGUCAAAAUCAAGGCAGGCUGUUUUUUCCUUUGUGGAUGGGCUUUAAGUUAAUUUUUGAUAGUGGAUUAACAAAGAAAAUUGUAUGCCAUUGUUUUUGUGGUCCAUCACCUAUAAGUUGAUCGCUUUUAACGAAUCUAGACUACAACAAGAAAAGUACAUACAAAGGUAUCCAAUUCAUCACAUUCCUAGCUUUUCUUAUUUACAAUCUACUUUUAAUUUGAUACGCUAAGUUCUUGCUUUUCGGAUGUCAAUUGUUGGACUAUAGUUUGCAUAUCUAUAUGUAAAAUAUCAUCUAUUAAACUCUAUAUUGUUGGCCAACCAGUGUACUCUUUAAUUUGUUGUUUCACGUUUUUGUAGUAGUCAGUCUUAUAAUUCAUAUGGACUCUAGUGUGCAUACGUAUAUAAAAAUAUCAUCUAUUCAACUUUAUAUUGUUGGGCAGCCAGUGUACUCUUCAAUUUGUUGUUUCACGUUUUUGUGGUAUUCAAUGUAAUAAUUCAUAUGAAUUCUACCAUUAUUACAUGUCUAAGUUAAUAUGUAAUCACCCAACUCAGCUUGAGUUAUCUUUGGCAUGAAAACAGAACCAUUGGAUGGAAUGAAAACAGAACCAUUGGAUACAGACUCUCUCCCCGAAAAAGAUAACACUCCAUUUUGUAUGGUCAUUUCACUGUAUAGCUUCGUCCAUUCCAUUGCAACUAGACUGAUUUCACCGUAUUGUUUGACAACGGUUUUUUUUCUGUUGGUUAAUGAAAAUUCACAUUCCACAACACAAUAAAAUCCAAAUCUUAUCCCUACCAAGUACAUGAGAACAUCCAAACAAAAUUAAACGAAUAAAUUUUUGUUGAUUUUUUGAUGAAAUUAAUUUCUUUUUUUUAAAGAGUAUGGGGAUUUCAUUGUAUACAAAACGGUACUGUAGCACCUUUUUUCUUCCAUUAUCAAAAAGUGUCUUCUCCAGGAAAAAAAAAGAAGUAUUGUUCAAAGAGACAGUAUAAUUUCUCUAAAUAAUUAUAAUUUCUCUAAAUAAUUAUCUAUAUAUUCACGUUAACCAAAGACGUGAAAUUAAUGAUGUUGGAGGUUAGUCUUCUUUUCACAUUAAACCUUUUUUUUCGAACAACUCUUUUCACAUUAAACCAAAAAGUGAAAUAAAUGAAGUGUGAGCUUAUAUUUAUUUUUUAAAGAAAAGAAAAGAAAAGAAAAAGCAGAAGAGACAAAACAGCUACACGUUGGCAGUAUCUAAGGAGAAAAGAUCCCACGUUUAUUAAUACAAAUCUUGUAAUGAAAUGCGAACUUGAAAUUUCGUAAUCGUAACAAAUCGGAGUAAAUAAUACUAAUAUGAUAAAGAAUACAAUCUUGUGAACUAAUCGUUUAUUAAUAAAAAUCUUGUAAUGAAAUGACGAACUUGAAAUUUCGUAAUCGUAACAAAUAGGAGUAAACAAUAAUAUGAUAAAGAAUACAAUCUUGUGAACUAAUAGUUUAUUCAUUCCCGGUCCGGCCAAAGCCGGAUCAGACUACGUUGACGGGUUUCCUAAGGAACAUGAGCGAAGAAGGUGGCGCGUCUCCAAGCCACGCGCCGACGUAAAAUUGUUAUACAGCCAUGUGCCUUUACCAGCAUGUGAGUCAAAGAGAUCUCCCUUUUAUGCGCCAUAAAAUUGCUUAGAACCUUUAUAUUGUGGUGGACCUCAAACAAAUUGACAGAGAAGCUAUGGUAGGCGAACGUCAUCGAGAGGAUAAUACUCUUUGGAUCUAGACACCGUGUUGAAAGAAAUACACUCAGAUGAAAAGAUAUUCACAUCGAUGAAAACAGAAAAUAAAUGAAGAAUCCAUUGCAGAAAUGAAAAAAAUGAGUUUAGAGAUUUUAAAGACAUAUACGAGAGAGAAAGAGAAUAAGAUUAAUUAUUUGGGAAAGAGAUUUUUUAGAAGAGACACGGAAGAGAAAGGGAGAGAGAUAGAAGGAUUUUGGGCAGGGAUAGUUUUGGGGUUUAAGAAUAUCUAUGAGAUAGUUAGCUAAUUAUGAGUUUUUUCAUCUAUAUGUGACCUAAUUACUCUAAAUAUUUCGAAUAGUAAUCUUCAAUGUUAAAUAUUUUUGUGGUCACAUUAGUUACAAUUAGGAUAAGUUUCUUAGCACUUGAUCAUUGAUUCAACAUAACUGAAUUGUAUUUCUUGUCAUCGAUCAUAGUCAUAGAGAUUAAACCGGAGAUUACAAUGGUGGAGUGGAAAAAAAAUUAACCGUUAAUUUACCAUGGAUAAAUCUCUUUUCAGUGAAGAACAAAUAGAAAAGCAUAUAAAAUUGAUCAUGUCUCGAUUAGAUUAGAGUUUGAGUAAUUAAGAAUUUCUCCUUCUCCAUCGCCAUUAACGUUGCAUCGCAACGAGAGAGAGAACGGUUUCCCACAAUGUGUCUAAAAUUCUGGUUUUUUUUUGCCAUUUUUUUAUUUUCUUCUUUGAAACUAAUCCAGAUGAUUAUAAGCAAAAAAACAUGCCACUUUAAAACAAUUUUGAACAUCUCUAUUGCCAUAAAAUGUAAAUAUUCAGUAUUUAACCUACUAGAUAAAUUACUUUUAAAGUAUGAUUCAAUGAGUAAGCGCUUUUAUGUAAAGUAAAAUGAUAUGUGUUCCCCCACUUCAAAACCCAAGAUGAUAUAUCCUAAACUUUUGGUUUCUUUGUUGCAGUGCAAAUAGAAAUAAUAGUUCCUGAAACAGAGUAUAACGUAAACAAGCUCCAACACAUGUGAACAAGCACACACAUAGACAUUAUUAGUUUUCAAAGUCAAGAAAGGAAAAAAAUUAGAGAAAAUGACUAGGAUAGUACUAAAAAUUUUUUUGUCACAAAUAUAGCCUCUAAAAAUAAAAAUGAUUAAAAUAGCACUUAAUGUUUUAUCCAAUGGUAAAUUAAUUUAAACAUUAGGGUUUAGAGUUAAGGGGUGGGGUUUAGAAUUUAGAAUUUAGGGUUUAGGGUUUAGAGUUUAGGGUUUAGAGUUUAGGGGUGGGGUUUAGGGUUUAGAGUCAAGGGGUGGGGUUUAUGAUUUAUGGUUUAGGGUUUAUGAUUUAGGGUUUAGGGUUUAGAGUUUAGGUUUUAGGAUUUAGAGUUGGGGAAUGGGGUUUAGGGAUAAGAUUUCAAAUUGUGAAAAAAUAAAAAAAAUUUAAAUUUUUCAAAAGAUAAAAUGUUAUUUUGGUCAUUUUA
rnacentral:lncRNA from 1 species